AUAGGAGUAUGUAGUGCAACUUAGGAGAGAGAGGCGACACGAGGUCAUGUGACCAGCUUCGUCGCGAUUGGCUGGCGACAAUGUGGACUAAUUUGUUCAUUGCGACGCCAAUGCAGACAACAUGUGACGUGGAUUGCUGGCGUUUUUCAGACUGUAAAAGUGACUAUAAAAUAUGUGUGGUUAAAUAUAUGAGGUAAAACUUUAUUAUUAGAAAUUAUAAAUAAACUGUGAUUGUAAGAAAUGUCAGUUGCAGUUGGGAAAUUUAUUGAAACAAUAUAUUUACUGUUUAUUCUUGUUUUCUAUAAUAAAUAUUACAGUAUCUAUUAAUUUGGCGCCGUUGAUUUCUUUGUCAGGUAAUUUAUUGUGUUCUUUGUAAGAUUUACCUCAUAUAUUCAACCACACAUAUUUUAGUCACCUUCACACAGUCUGAAAAACGCCAGCAAUCCACGUCACAUGUGGUCUGCAUUGGAGUCGCAAUGAACAAAUUAGCCCAUAUUGUCGCCAGACAAUCGCAAGAAGCUGGUCACAUGACCUCUCGUGUCGCCUCUCUCUCCUAGAGGCCAGAGAGAGUGGAGCGGAUCGUAUUCUCUUCUCUGAUUGGUGCCGCCAUUAGCUGGGCAACUUUGUACGUUUCGCACUUUCAGUGAGACUGACGUUACAUAUUCUGGCAUAUUUGCACUUUUGAACGCGUAGUUGGAUGGUGGAAGACAUUCUUUCUGCUAGAGGCUCUCUAGGCACGGCCGUUCAGAGCUGCCAGACGGCAGCCACUGAGCCACGGCUCACGAUAGUGGAGGGGAUGACGCAACAUCCAGACAGUCGUGUCCGUGUGCGCGCUGCGCCUCGGCUAUCUUCGGGCGGUUAGACGCGAGCAAACAAAUCGCUGAAGAGAUGGAGGAUUUGUUGCUGGAAGAGAACUGAAGCUCCUGCUGCAACCAUGCAGUUGGUGUUGCAGAAACUGCACGAGCAACAGCAAACGCAGGAGAAGUUCCAGCAGCAGCUGCACAUUCUCCUGCAAAUGCAGCAGUAGCAGCAACAACAGCAGCCACAACAAGAGCCCCAGCCGCAACAACAGCAACAGCAGCGAAAAAAAGGAGGAGGCAGGCGAUCCCGAGCCCGAUGGUAUCUCCAGCGGGGCGGCUACCACGGAGGGCGAGGAGCCCGCGGGCGCGGACGGAGCGUGCGACACAACACGCGGUUGUGGCGAAAUACGCGCCCGCCAAUGCAGCAAGGUUACCAAGAUAGGAUUUUGGAACGCACCUCAGAGCGAUCGAACGCGUGUUGCUCUGAUCAGGAUUCACGAGCGACUAUCGAUCGAUUUUCCUGCAGCGAUAGCUCCGAUUCGGUGGAAUUCGUGCUUGUUUUUCUCUAUCGCUCGGCAAGGUGAAGUUGUUUGUGAUAGAGUCGUCGCCUUCCUUCCCUCUCAUUCGCUUAGAAAAAUCAGCUGGAGAGCGAAAUGGAAAGCAAACGGCUUUGUCUCAACGCUUUCAAUUUUAUAACAAAUAAUUCCCGAAUCGACUAGACAAAUAAAUCGACAAAUCGGCAAAUAGAUCGUGUUCGCGAAUGUUCGAUAAAAUUUUGAUCGAAUCGCGAACAAAUAUUAUGUGUACAACCGGUACUAUAAUCACUCUCAUUUUUUUUAAUAUGUAUGAAAUUUUAAUAUGACAAUUGUGAUUCUCGCUUCCUUCCCUCUCUGAUCCAAAAGUGUUCUUUUUAGAUAUAAAUAUAUAUUUACUCGGCAUUUGUCCGACGGAAAAUGGUAGAUAUACAUAGUGUAGUAUAAUGUGGUACAAUAGGGCUCCAGGCGAAGGUCCACGUUAAAAAAACCGAACGCGCCAUUAGUGGAACCUUUAGGAUGGUGCGGAAGUCCACUACUUUACCUUUUGAAAGUUACUCAGGAGAGUGACCUCUAUACUAUAUAUGUUGAGAAAUGUAAUUUUCACCGUGUUUGAUUCACCCGCGAAUAAGUACUGUCGGGAUGGAGAUGGCGCGUUUACGGAAAUGGGCAUUGCGGCACAGGUGAGAGAGGAUUCUCCCCUUUCCGUAGCGAGCGAACGAGCGAGCGAACCACACGUGUGAGCGAGUACUUGGCCAAGUGCUGUGAUUCCGACUCCGAUAAGUUUUUUUCUUUUAUUUGUUAUACGCAAUUUAUUUGUUUGUAUUUCGCGAGUAUAUUCUCUAUGUUAUCUCUCAGAUUCAAUAAUAAAUGUCUUUUGUAAUACAAA
rnacentral:lncRNA from 1 species